UACAGAGGUCUCAAGCGUUGUUCGGAUUCAUUGGGCGUAAAGGGUGCGUAGGCGGCGCGGUAAGUCGGGUGUGAAAUCUCGGAGCUUAACUCCGAAACUGCAUUCGAUACUGCCGUGCUUGAGGACUGGAGAGGAGACUGGAAUUUACGGUGUAGCGGUGAAAUGCGCAGAUAUCAGGAGGAACACCAAUUGCGAAGGCAGCUCGCUGGGACGUUACUGACGCUGAGACGCGAAAGCGUGGGGAGCAAACAGG
rnacentral:rRNA from 1 species